UUAAAUUUAUUAUUGGGUUAUAAUCACUAAUAUUUUAUUUUAGAGAGGUCCUGUGACGUAGAGGUUAAAUGCCAAAUCUCUGAAAUCUCAUUGUGUUGAGUUCAAACCCCAGUCUCUGUUAUCUAACUUCUGGGUCUGCUUCCUCAACUGUAAAAUGGAGAUAGGUGGGUUUUCUCAGCUCAUAGGAAAGGAGUAGUAAAAAGUUAGUAGGAACUAACACUAAUGUUCUGAUGUGCAAGUUGUUAAAAUACUCGACCCUUCCUUGACUCUGACUCUUCUUCCUCAUGACCUAGCCACUCAAAGGGAAUAAUAUGUGGCACAAAAAGAGAAUCUUUAGGACUGUGCUUCAGCAUAGCCUAGCUCUGGCAUCCUUCUGAUGGAUUGAUGACUAUUCUAUACCUGCUGUUAAAUAUUCGGAAUAUAAUGUUUUCAGUCCCACUUCUCACUAUUGACCUUCCUUGUACAACGGUCACUGAACUGGCGCCUCUCUGGGGUUCUGCCCAGAAGAUUAGCCUUCCUCUUUCGCUGCAGCCCCCCUAUCAGGAGGCUACGCAUUGAUGUAGAGGAAUGAAACUGGAAGCAAAGAAGUGAAUGCGACAGCAUCCUUUUUGUUUUAUCAUCUUCCCCUCUCUCUCUAGUAGUCAGGGUACAAGGCAGUGAAUUCAGACCAAAAUCUUGGGCUUUACAGUAUCUUUUGUUAAUUCUCUUGAGAUAUUUAUUAUGUCCAUUAAACUACCCAAUACAUUUUGGUAUG